rnacentral:rRNA from 1 species
AUUGAACGCUGGCGGCAGGCUUAACACAUGCAAGUCGAGCGGGGGAAGGUAGCUUGCUACCGGACCUAGCGGCGGACGGGUGAGUAAUGCUUAGGAAUCUGUCUAUUAGUGGGGGACAACAUCUCGAAAGGGAUGCUAAUACCGCAUACGUCCUACGGGAGAAAGCAGGGGAUCUUCGGACCUUGCGCUAAUAGAUGAGCCGAAGUCGGAUUAGCUAGUUGGUGGGGUAAAGGCCUACCAAGGCGACGAUCUGUAGCGGGUCUGAGAGGAUGAUCCGCCACACUGGGACUGAGACACGGCCCAGACUCCUACGGGAGGCAGAGUGGGGAAUAUUGGACAAUGGGGGGAGCCCUGAUCCAGCCAUGCCGCGUGUGUGAAGAAGGCCUUAUGGUUGUAAAGCACUUUAAGCGAGGAGGAGGCUACUCUAGUUAAUACCUAGGGAUAGUGGACGUUACUCGCAGAAUAAGCACCGGCUAACUCUGUGCCAGCCGCCGCGGUAA